rnacentral:rRNA from 1 species
CCGUCAGACGAACGCUGGCGGCGUGCUUAACACAUGCAAGUCGAACGAUGAAGCCCUUCGGGGUGGAUUAGUGGCGAACGGGUGAGUAACACGUGGGCAAUCUGCCCUUCACUCUGGGACAAGCCCUGGAAACGGGGUCUAAUACCGGAUAUGACACACGACCGCAUGGUCUGUGUGUGGAAAGCUCCGGCGGUGAAGGAUGAGCCCGCGGCCUAUCAGCUUGUUGGUGGGGUGAUGGCCUACCAAGGCGACGACGGGUAGCCGGCCUGAGAGGGCGACCGGCCACACUGGGACUGAGACACGGCCCAGACUCCUACGGGAGGCAGCAGUGGGGAAUAUUGCACAAUGGGCGAAAGCCUGAUGCAGCGACGCCGCGUGAGGGAUGACGGCCUUCGGGUUGUAAACCUCUUUCAGCAGGGAAGAAGCGAGAGUGACGGUACCUGCAGAAGAAGCGCCGGCUAACUACGUGCCAGCAGCCGCGGUAAUACGUAGGGCGCAAGCGUUGUCCGGAAUUAUUGGGCGUAAAGAGCUCGUAGGCGGCUUGUCACGUCGGAUGUGAAAGCCCGGGGCUUAACCCCGGGUCUGCAUUCGAUACGGGCAGGCUAGAGUUCGGUAGGGGAGAUCGGAAUUCCUGGUGUAGCGGUGAAAUGCGCAGAUAUCAGGAGGAACACCGGUGGCGAAGGCGGAUCUCUGGGCCGAUACUGACGCUGAGGAGCGAAAGCGUGGGGAGCGAACAGGAUUAGAUACCCUGGUAGUCCACGCCGUAAACGUUGGGAACUAGGUGUGGGCGACAUUCCACGUCGUCCGUGCCGCAGCUAACGCAUUAAGUCCC